rnacentral:rRNA from 1 species
GUAGGGAAUAUUGGGCAAUGGUCGGAAGACUGACCCAGCCAUGCCGCGUGCAGGAAGACGGCCCUCUGGGUUGUAAACUGCUUUUAUCUGGGAAGAAAAAGGCCAUGCGUGGCAAAUUGCCGGUACCAGAUGAAUAAGCACCGGCUAACUCCGUGCCAGCAGCCGCGGUAAUACGGAGGGUGCGAGCGGUGUCCGGAUUUAUUGGGUUUAAAGGGUGCGUAGGCGGCUGAUUAAGUCAGCGGUGAAAGACUGCGGCUUAACCGGAGCAGUGCCGUUGAUACUGGUUGGCUUGAGUGUCGGAGGGGUACAUGGAAUUGAUGGUGUAGCGGUGAAAUGCAUAGAUACCAUCAGGAACACCGAUAGCGAAGGCAUUGUACUGGCCGACAACUGACGCUGAUGCACGAAAGUGUGGGGAUCGAACAGGAUUAGAAACCCCGGUAGUCC